CCUACGGGAGGCAGCAGUGAGGAAUAUUGGUCAAUGGACGCAAGUCUGAACCAGCCAUGCCGCGUGCAGGAAGACGGCUCUAUGAGUUGUAAACUGCUUUUGUACGAGGGUAAACGCAGAUACGCGUAUCUGUCUGACAGUAUCGUACGAAUAAGGAUCGGCUAACUCCGCGCCAGCAGCCGCGGUAAUACGGAGGGUUCAAGCGUUAUCCGGAUUUAUUGGGUUUAAAGGGUGCGUAGGCGGUCGGAUAAGUUAGAGGUGAAAUCCCGAGGCUCAACUUCGGAAUUGCCUCUGAUACUGUUCGGCGAGAAAGUAGUUGCGGUAGGCGGAAUGUAUGGUGUAGCGGUGAAAUGCUUAGAGAUCAUACAGAACACCGAUUGCGAAGGCAGCUUACCAGGCUACUUCUGACGUUGAGGCACGAAAGCGUGGGGAGCAAACAGGAUUAGAUACCCGGGUAGUC
rnacentral:rRNA from 1 species